UACGGAGGGAGCUAGCGUUGUUCGGAUAUACUGGGCGUAAAGCGCACGUAGGCGGCGCCGUAAGUCAGGGGUGAAAUCCCGGGGCUCAACCUCGGAACUGCCUUUGAUACUGCAAGUCUUGAGUCCGAUAGAGGUGGGUGGAAUUCCUAGUGUAGAGGUGAAAUUCGUAGAUAUUAGGAAGAACACCGGUGGCGAAGGCGGCCCACUGGAUCGGUACUGACACUGAGGUGCGAAAGCGUGGGGAGCGAACAGG
rnacentral:rRNA from 1 species